rnacentral:rRNA from 1 species
UACGGGGGAUGCAAGCGUUAUCCGGAAUCAUUGGGCGUAAAGCGCCUGUAGGUGGUUUAGUAAGUCUGUUGUUAAAGACUAGGGCUUAACCCUAGAAAAGCGAUGGAAACUACUAGACUAGAGUAUGGCAGGGGUAGAGGGAAUUUCUAGUGUAGCGGUGAAAUGCGUAGAUAUUAGAAAGAACACCGGUGGCGAAAGCGCUCUACUGGACCAUUACUGACACUCAGAGGCGAAAGCUAGGGUAGCAAAAGGGAUUAGAUACCCCUGUAGUCCUAGCCGUAAACGAUGGAUACUAGAUGUUGUGUAUUAUAUACAGUAUCGUAGCUAACGCGUUAAGUAUCCCGCCUGGGGAGUACGCUCGCAAGGGUG